UGCCCGGUGGUGUAACGGUAACACAAACGGCUCUGGACCGUUUAUUCCUGGUUCGAAUCCAGGCUGGGCAGCCA
rnacentral:tRNA from 1 species